AAAAAUUUAAAUUUGUAAUUUUAAAUUGUAAAUUAUAAAUUUAAGAUUUAAGUUUUAAAAUUUAAGAUUAAAGUUUAAAUUUUAAAUUUAGUUUUUAAAUUUAAAAAUUAAAAUUCACAAAUUUAAAAGCUUUAAAAUUUAAAAUUUAUGUUAAAGUUUGAAAUUUAAAAUUUGAUUUAAAAUUUCAAAUUUUAAAUUUAGAGUUUGAAUA
rnacentral:lncRNA from 1 species